rnacentral:sRNA from 1 species
UCCCUGAGGCAGUGGCGACAGCGCCGGCGAGAGGAUGAACAACAAGUUCGACGCUUUGAAAGAUGAUGACAGUGGGGACCAUGAUCAGAAUGAAGAAAACAGCACACAGAAAGAUGGUGAGAAGGAAAAAACGGAACGAGACAAGAAUCAAAGCAGUAGCAAGAGAAAGGCUGUUGUCCCUGGACCGGCAGAGCAUCCCCUGCAGUACAACUACACUUUUUGGUACUCCAGGAGAACCCCCGGCCGUCCCACGAGCUCACAGAGCUAUGAACAGAAUAUCAAACAGAUUGGCACCUUUGCCUCUGUGAGUUCUUGGUGAAUUAAUGGAGUAUGCCUUGAUAGUUCAUUCAUGCCUGUAUUGAUACGAUGUUUAUUUACCUUCCUAGUAACCUAUUUAAGAUUCUGGUUUUCUUAAUUGACUGACCUGAGUCUCCGGAGUCAGAUUUGUUCAUUCUUAGGUUUCUCACUAGAUAUCCAUGGUUAGCAUGUAGAUAUCAACAAAUAUGAGAAUGGUAGAGUUGAUCAGAAGGGCAUAAUACAAAAGAACAGAUUUGGGUUUUUUUAUUUUUAUUUUUAUUUUUUAAUUGAGACAGAGUCUCUUGCUCUGUCUCCCAGGCUGGAAUGCAGUGGUAUGAUCUCGGCUCAUUGCAACCUCCGCUUCCUGGGUUCAAGCAAUCCUCCUGCCUCAGUCUCCUGAGUAGCUGAGAUUACAGGCGUGUGCCACCAUGCCCAGCUAAUUUUUGUAUUUUUAGUAGAAACAGGGUUCCACCAUGUUGGCCAGGCUGGUCUGGAACUCCUGACCUUAGGUAAUCCACCCGCCUUGGCCUCCCAAAAUGCUGGAUUACAGGAGUGAGCCGCUGCACCUGGCCCUGUUUUUUUUUGUUUGUUUUGUUUGCUUGUUUGUUUGUUUGUUUUUUAAGUAUAUAUUUAUGGAGUCCUUACUAAGUUCAAAGUGUCAUGGAUACAGAAGUUUAUAAUACGUGGUAUCUAUGUUCAUGAAGUUUGACAGUAAAGGGAAAAAUUUUGAAAGUUUUGUAUUUAAGAACCUCCCAUUAGGGUUUUGGCUGUGUUAAUGAUUAUGCAUAAAAUAUCUUUUUCCUGUGUUCAGAAA